AGAGUUUGAUCCUGGCUCAGAAUGAACGUUGGCGGCGUGGAUUAGGCAUGCGAGUCGCGCGAUAAUGUAGCAAUACAGGACAGCGGCGAAAGGGAGAGGACAACAUAGGAAUCUGCCCUGGGGUCGGGGAUAGCGUCGGGAAACUGACGGUAAUACCCGAUAAUAUCCAAGGAUCAAAGGAGCAAUUUGCCCCGGGAUGAGCCUAUGCCCCAUUAGCUAGUUGGCGGUGUAAUGGACCACCAAGGCUGUGAUGGGUAGCUGGUGUGAGAGCACGACCAGCCUCACUGGCACUGAGACACUGGCCAGACACCUACGGGUGGCUGCAGUCGAGAAUCUUCGGCAAUGGACGAAAGUCUGACCGAGCGACGCCGCGUGUGGGAUGAAGGUCUUCGGAUUGUAAACCACUGUCGAGGGGGAUUAAGGGAAACUUGAAAGAACCCUGGAGGAAGGGGAGGCUAAGCUCGUGCCAGCAGCCGCGGUAAGACGAGCUCCCCAAACGUUAUUCGGUAUUACUGAGCUUAAAGAGUUCGUAGGCGGCGAAGUAGGUGAGGUGUGAAAGCCCUCGG
rnacentral:rRNA from 1 species